rnacentral:rRNA from 1 species
AUGGCUGAGUCGGCCUAUAGCAUUGUGCUCAGCAAUGUCAACACACUUGCAAUUCAGGAGACCACACUCCUGUGUGGAGUCACCCUUGAAGUGGAGUCCCUAAAAGAUGAGCUCAAGCGGCUCCAAGGCUUCCUUAGAGAUGCCGACGGCAAGCGGAGGCUCAGAGAUGAAGAUAUUGUUGUCUUGGUCAGCCAGAUCAGAGAUGUGGGGUAUGAGGCUGACAAUGCCAUUGAAGCGGUGGAUCACAUGCAGAAGAGAAACCGGCUCAAGAAGGGAUUCAUGGGCGCCAUUGCAAGGUAUGCUCGCCUACCAAGUGAUUUGACUACCCUUCUCAAUGUUGGUGUUGAAAUUGAACACAUCAAAAGGAAAAUCUCUGAGAUAGUUGAAAGUGCAAAGCGCCUGGAAAUAGUUGAUUUGGGGAAUGUGCCAAUAGAAAAUGUUCAUGUUGAUGAUGAGUUCCAACAAGAUUAUCCUAACUAUCAAAACUAUGAAGAAAUUUUACUUGUUGGCUUUGAGGGUGAGUACGAAGAAAUAGUGGAGAAAUUAGUUGACACAGAGAAGAGUCUUAGUGCUAUCUCCAUAGUUGCUAUGGGUGGGGCAGGAAAAACAGCACUUGCUAAGAAAGUCUUCAUGUCAUGUAGAGUCCAAGAACACUUCGGCAAAACUGCUUGGGUUACUGUAUCUCAAAAAUACAAAGGCAUUGAUUUACUCAAGGAAAUUAUGAAACAAAUUAUGGGGAGUACAGACGAGUCAAUUGAUAAAUUGAAUGAGUAUGAGGUGGGACAAAAGAUCCAUGAUUUCUUGUUGCAAACAAAAUGCUUAGUGGUUCUUGAUGAUGUGUGGGAAACAGAUACAUGGGAGCAAUUAAACAGAAGCAUUAGAGCCUUUCCAGAUGCAGCCAAUGGUAGUAGAAUACUUAUAACCACACGAAAAGACAUUGCAAAUCAUGUUCAAAUACCAACCCACGUUCAUCCUUUGAAGAAGCUUGAUGAAGAAAAAAGCUGGGAACUUUUGAGUAGCAAAGCCUUACCAUCAUACAAAAGGUCCGUCAUACAUGAUGUGGAUGAGUUUGAGAAACUUGGCAGAAAGCUUGCAAAGAAAUGCGAUGGGUUACCACUUGCACUUGCACUAUUGGGGGGUUACCUAUCAAAACAUUUAAAUGCACGAGAAUGGUCUGAUAUACUCUUGGAUUGGCCAUCGACCAGAAAUGGGCAGAUGGUGCAGAACAUUGUGGCCCGGAGUUACAAGGACCUGCCAAAUCAUUAUUUAAGGUCUUGUUUCCUCUAUAUUGCUUCUUAUCCCAAGGAUUACAUAAUAGAUGUGCCAAGACUUAUAGAAUUAUGGAUAGCAGAAGGCUUCAUUCCUAAGAUACCAAACCAUAAGCUAGAAGAAACAGCGGAAAUGUAUGUAGCCGAGUUGGCCCAGAGAAGCUUGGUAGAAGUUAUUGAAAGAAGCAGGGCACAUGGAUGUAUUGACAUUAUAAAGAUUCAUGAUAUCUUACAUGACUGGUGUGCAGAAGAAGCAAGGCAAGAUGGUUUUCUUGAUGUGAAGAACGAAACUACGGGCCAAGUUGGCGAGCCAGCAUCAUCAAAUAACUUGGUUUCCUAUCGCUCUAGUUUCCAGAGUUUGAGUAAUGAGAUUUUACCUGGGACAACUAAUAUCCGAACUUUGCUUGGCUUUGAACUUCAAUCAGCAUCCGUUCCUAAACUGAGGCUCCUGAGAGUUCUUAGCAUUGAAAAGUCAACAUUGAAAGAUUUCUGUACAGUGAUCAGUGGCUGCAUUCACCUAAGAUAUCUUAGGUUGGGGAACUGUGGAGGUGUGGUUCUACCUUCCUCAAUAGGCCAGCUCUUAUACUUGCAGACUAUAGAUCUAAGGGACUCAUACUUGGAAUCGCAAGUACCAAAGUCCCUCUGGGAUAUCCCCAGUCUAAGGAAUGUAUACCUUGAUGAUGGGUUUUCACCACCACCACCACCUGCAAAGAGUGUCCGGCUGCAUCACAAAGAGCUCCAGACCUUGUUUUUGGGUAUUUCACAUGUUGGCACUAAAUUGUGGUUUCAUGACAUGGUUAUUUUCCUGCGCCAGAUGAAUCAACUAAGAACCUUAUUCUUGAUGAUAUUCCCCAUGCCCACGGAGGUGUUUAGCCUAUUUGCAAACAUGCCUCACCUUGUUGAUAUUACUCUUGGCCAAUUAGGUGUGCUUGAUAAGUUGCCUGAUGAGUUCCCACAAAGUGUACGGCGUCUUGUUCUAUAUGCCGAUGUCAUUAGACAAGACCCAAUGCCGAUCCUAGAGAAGCUUCCAUGUCUUGUGGUGCUGAAAUUAGAGGGGUAUGAAGGCAAAACUAUGUCCUGCUCUGCACAAGGGUUUCCUCAGCUGCAAGAGUUGGAACUUCAUAGGUUUUCUGUCGAGGAGUGGAGGACGGAGGAAGGGACAAUGUCUAAACUAUUUAUCCUGACACUUUGGAAGUGCGAGAAGAUGAUCAAGGUUUGCGAGGAAUUGCUAGACCUUUCGUACCUCAGUCACGUGACAUUGGCCGAGGUGCCCUAUUUCUGA